rnacentral:lncRNA from 1 species
AAUCGAUACCGAUGUUGAGAUUAGCAGAGCUUCAAUCUAUUUGAGCCAUGGAGAGGCUUGUUGGAUAGGCAGAAUUGAGAUCUCUUCAGUCUGGACGAGGCUGGAAGUGGCUGGAUUGAUGAUUGCUAGUAUGGAGCUGCACUGUAGUACAUGUUUUGCUUGAUUAUGAAUCAUCCAAGAGCUAUUCUUCUGGGAGAUCAAGGCAUCUCUGUAAAUUUGUUGAGGUUUUCAUAUUAUGAAAAACUCAAGUUCUG